rnacentral:rRNA from 1 species
CCUACGGGCGGCAGCAGUGGGGAAUAUUGGACAAUGGGCGAAAGCCUGAUCCAGCCAUGCCGCGUGUGUGAAGAAGGCCUUCGGGUUGUAAAGCACUUUCAGUGGGGAAGAAAGCCUUGGGGCUAAUACCCUCGAGGAAGGACAUCACCCACAGAAGAAGCACCGGCUAACUCCGUGCCAGCAGCCGCGGUAAUACGGAGGGUGCGAGCGUUAAUCGGAAUUACUGGGCGUAAAGCGCGCGUAGGCGGUCUGAUAAGCCGGUUGUGAAAGCCCCGGGCUCAACCUGGGAACGGCAUCCGGAACUGUCAGGCUAGAGUGCAGGCGAGGAAGGUAGAAUUCCCGGUGUAGCGGUGAAAUGCGUAGAGAUCGGGAGGAAUACCAGUGGCGAAGGCGGCCUUCUGGACUGACACUGACGCUGAGGUGCGAAAGCGUGGGUAGCAAACAGGAUUAGAUACCCGGGUAGUC